UAACGAUGUGCUGACCUCUGC
rnacentral:miRNA from 1 species